AGACCCAGAUUCCCCUUCUGUUCAUCCCCGUCACGGAGCAAACAAAUACGACGAAAAUCCGUCGCGUGGGCGACACCCGCGCGCGCAGGCGAAGCAUUGCAAUCCUUUGUCCCUUUCUCCUUUCUGCGCUUGUACGAUUCCAACAGCACCUCCAAGCCUGCAGGAUCGUCCUUGAGGAUGCAGGAUGACGCUACGUCGAGCUCCAAGGACGGGAGGUUGAUCACACUCGUCCGCGUCCCUUUCAACUUUUGGGAUUUUUGGCCAAAUUUUGGGAUAAUCUGGUACAGCCCAACUGUUCCUUGUCCUUGGGAGUAAUUUGAAUUUGGAUUGGGCAUGAGAUUCGCGAUUCGUAAAACCCUAAUUUCUUCUCCUAUAAAUACAUCCUUAUCGUUCUUGAAUAGGGAUCUUUUUUUUUUGGGUGAAGAAUUAGGAAAAACUCUUAAGAGUUAUAAGUAUAUUUCGGAAAUUUUAGUGAAAAUCUCUUAGGCAGAAAACAGAGAAGAGAGGGGAGGAAGAUUUUGAGUUGAAAAAUACAUAUUGGAGAGUUACAGAGGAUAUAGUAAGAAAAGAGACACAAGAUACAGAGUGAUAUUUGAAAGGCACACUCUAUAUAAGUCGAAAUUGAGGUGAAUAGAAAGCCGAAAGAUAGAGGAGGAACCGGUGUUUCUUUUUGAAGGUUGAGUCGCAGGGCCUUGGAUCAAGAUUUUUGUAUUCCUUCUCUUUCAUUCAUUGUUCUUUGAAGUUCAUCGAAAGCUCCUUGUGUUGGUUGGAAUCAUCCUCGAGCUUGCCUACGCCCAACUCGCUGCUCCUAAAAAGGUAUCUACAAGCUCUGUACAUAUAGUAUUGCGAAGCUUAGAACAUACGGACAACAUUCUUGAAGGAAAUUACGAUCUUUCGAGCGCAUUGGAAAGGUAUGUUAAGGUUAUUCCCUCCAUUCGACAUGUUUACUUAGAUCUUGGGAGUGAUAUAAUAGGGUAGUUAAUGUUGCGUGAUCUUGUAGAUGUAAUUGCGAGUGGUUGGAUGAUUGAGUGGUUAUAAACCAUCAUUUUAGGGACUCAUAGUCUGUUAAGAACGAUACUAAGUUAAGUUGACGUGGAGAAUAUUUAUAUAUAUUGUUUAUAGCUAAAUUGCUCGCCUUUUGCCUAUUCAAUUGUUUGUUGUAGCCCUUGGGGCUAUUGUGGUUAAUUGUUGAGCUAUGAUCUUCCUAUGGGGGCUAUGAUGCUGUCUACUAGGACUACGCUAUUGCCAAUGAGGUCUAUGUGUUGCCCACAAGGCUAUAUUGAUUCCAACGAGUGUUAUGUGUUGCCUAUAGGGCUAUUUUGAUGCCAAAGACGGCUAUGUGUUGCCUAUAGGGCUAUGUUGAUGCAAGGGAAGGCUAUGUGCAGCCCACAGAGCUAUGAUGUUGCCUAAGAGGGCUAUACACUGCAUGCGGGCUAUAUCGCUGCCAAAAAAGGUAUGUGACUUCUUACAAAGACAGGGGGCUACCGAUAGGGGUAAGCAGAUUGAUUGACACCUUUUGGACUUUUGGUGGCCUAGGUAGGUGGUAUGUUGUUUGUACCUACUGAGCUUAUGAGGUCUUGGUUAGGUUGUUGUUUGAUCAUUUUUGUAUUUUUUUUUUAUUUAGUAGUGGGUUAGCAUGCUUAUCUAAAUUUUGAUUUCCUUACGUGAUUGCUUUUGGUAUAUUAUGAUACUUGCUCAUUAUUCUAUAGCAUUUCAUGCUCGGUA